rnacentral:rRNA from 1 species
GUAGGUGGCAAGCGUUGUCCGGAAUUAUUGGGCGUAAAGCGCGCGCAGGUGGUUCUUUAAGUCUGAUGUGAAAGCCCCCGGGCUCAACCGGGGAGGGUCAUUGGAAACUGGGGAACUUGAGUGCAGGAGAGGAAAGUGGAAUUCCACGUGUAGCGGUGAAAUGCGUAGAUAUGUGGAGGAACACCAGUGGCGAAGGCGACUUUCUGGCCUGUAACUGACACUGAGGCGCGAAAGCGUGGGGAGCAAACAGGAUUAGAUACCCUGGUAGUCCACGCCGUAAACGAUGAGUGCUAAGUGUUGGGGGGUUUCCGGCCCCUCAGUGCUGCAGCUAACGCAUUAAGCACUCCGCCUGGGGAGUACGGUCGCAAAGACUG